rnacentral:lncRNA from 1 species
GCCUAUGUUAAACGAUAACAGGCAGACAAAUUAGAAUUUAGGUCCUUUAGGGCUCAUUUUAUUGGAUAUCCUAAAGAGUUCUUAGGAUAUUAUUUCUAUCUUCUGGAAGACCACAAUGUGAUUGUGAGUCGACAUGUGGUUUUUCUUGAAAAAUAGUUUAUUCAAAAUGGAGACAUGAGAAGAUAGAUUAGAUUCGAAGAGAAAGUCUCCAAAGAGCAGCGAGCCUUGGAAC